UACAGAGGUCUCAAGCGUUGUUCGGAUUCAUUGGGCGUAAAGGGUGUGUAGGUGGCGCCGUAAGUCGGGUGUGAAAUUUCGGAGCUUAACUCCGAAACUGCAUUCGAUACUGCGGUGCUUGAGGACUGGAGAGGAGACUGGAAUUUACGGUGUAGCAGUGAAAUGCGUAGAUAUCAGGAGGAACACCGGUGGCGAAGGCGGGUCUCUGGGCAGUAACUGACGCUGAGGUGCGAAAGCGUGGGGAGCAAACAGG
rnacentral:rRNA from 1 species